rnacentral:tRNA from 1 species
GGUGGCUCAGUGUUAGAGCGCUUGCCCUUGUAUGCAUGAGGCCCUGGGUUCGAUUCCUCAGCACCA